GCGUAACAUUUUAGUUGGCAUUACAUUUUACUUUUUAGGUUAGUUUUCACGCUCCCCAAGGUAAUGCCUACUGAGGAAAUCUGUUCUGGUCCUGGAUCACCAACGACUUAUUGUUACCUGUUUGGAUGUUCUUUUCGUAUAGUGCUGUGAGGUAGGUAUAGCUACUCGUGGCUUAUGUUCUUAGGAAUGGACCUCAAGAUAAACACGUGGCUUAAGCUGUUGUGAGUGGACCUCAAGAUAAGACUUGUGAACAAAACGCUAAGUGUUUCGGGAUCUGAUGAGGAUUGGAUUGCUUUUUAAAAGGGCCUGCAACUUAGCGUAGCUGCUUGUGUCGACAUUAUUGUUCAAAAGUAAUUUAGAUCGUAACAUGGGAUACGUUUUGCACAAUGUUGUAGAUGCUUUAAUUGCCUGUGAUAAUAUAAGCCAACACUACGUUUUCUGAAAAUAAGUGUUUUUUCCUCAUCCCCCGCUCCAAAGAUUUGUCCCUACACUGCUUUUGAUUUUCCGAGAAGUAAUAAUGUUUUGGCAUUUUCUGCUGCCGCGGUGAUUUCCGGGGGAGUAUUUGAAAAUUGCAUUGGACCACCACUGCUGCUAAUUUGCGCUACAGGCAAUUAAAAUUCAAAAUAACUGGUAUGUCGCCACAUGUGCUCAUUCCAUCACAAGAGUUAGAAUGAAAUUAUUCCACUUCAGUAUAACAGAAUAGGCGACAUUCUGUUGUUAAAAGUAUGGCAAGU